GUGGCAGCAAACUGCCUGCUUCUCCGUUAUAUGAGCAAAGAAAACUCAGGAGAAUCACUUGAUGAACACAGUCCCAGUGAAGUGGCACCAGAAGCUUCAGACACUCCACUGGUCCCAGACAUUGAAGACAUCCACAGUGAGACCUGUCAAAGACUCAUACAAGAGAGGUUUGAUGCUAUACAGGCCCUCUCGGUGGACAGCAGAGCAGUUGUUCUCGAGUCGACGAUUGGACAGGCCGCAAAUCCAACCUGGCACAUGGAGCGGAUUGG